rnacentral:rRNA from 1 species
ACGCUGGCGGCGUGCUUAACACAUGCAAGUGGAGCGACGAACCGGGGCUUGCCCCGGGGCAGAGCCGCGAACGGGUGAGUAACACGUGGGUAACCUGCCUCAAUGAUUGGGACAACCCGGGGAAACUCGGGCUAAUACCAAAUGUGUUCACUCCUUCCAAGGGGAGUGAGGAAAGGAAGCUUCGGCCUCCGCAUUGAGAUGGGCCCGCGGCCCAUUAGCUUGUUGGUGAGGUAACGGCUCACCAAGGCUUCGAUGGGUAGCUGGUCUGAGAGGACGAUCAGCCGCACUGGGACUGAGACACGGCCCAGACUCCUACGGGAGGCAGCAGUGGGGAAUCUUGCACAAUGCGCGAAAGCGUGAUGCAGCAACGCCGCGUGGGGGAAGACGGCCUUCGGGUUGUAAACCCCUUUCAGUUGGGACGAAGCUUCGUCGGUGAAUAGCCGGUUGGAGUGACGGUACCUUCAGAAGAAGCCCCGGCUAACUACGUG